rnacentral:rRNA from 1 species
AUUGAACGCUGGCGGCAUGCUUUACACAUGCAAGUAGAACGGUAACAGGGUGCUUGCACCGCUGACGAGUGGCGAACGGGUGAGUAAUGCGUCGGAACGUGCCGAGUAGUGGGGGAUAACGCAGCGAAAGUUGUGCUAAUAACGCAUACGAUCUAUGGAUGAAAGCGGGGGACCGUAAGGCCUCGCGCGAUUGGAGCGGCCGAUGUCAGAUUAGGUAGUUGGUGGGGUAAAGGCUUACAAAGCCGACUAUCUGUAGAUGGUCUGAGAGGACGACCAACAACACUGGGACUGAGACACGGUCCAGACUCCUACGAGAGACAGCAGUGUGGAAUUUUGGGCAUUGGGCGAAAGCCUGAUCCAGCAAUGCCGCGUACAGGAAGAAGUCUUUCGGGUUGUAAACUGCUUUUGUACGGAACGAAACGGCCUGGGUUAAUACCCUGGGCUAAUGACGGUACCGUAAGAAUAAGCACCGGCUAACUACGUGCCAGCCGCCGCCGUAA